GACGGGUGAGUAAUGCGUAGGAAUCUACCUAGUAGUACGGAAUAGCCAUUAGAAAUGGUGGGUAAUACUGUAUAAUCCCCGAGGGGGAAAGAUUUAUCGCUAUUAGAUGAGCCUACGUUAGAUUAGCUAGUUGGUGAGGUAAUGGCUUACCAAGGCUAUGAUCUAUAGCUGGUCUGAGAGGACGAUCAGCCACACUGGAACUGAGAUACGGUCCAGACUCCUACGGGAGGCAGCAGUGGGGAAUAUUGGAUAAUGGGCGAAAGCCUGAUCCAGCUAUGCCGCGUGAGUGAAGAAGGCC
rnacentral:rRNA from 1 species